rnacentral:rRNA from 2 species
UGAUCCAGCAAUGCCGCGUGUGUGGAAGAACGGCUUCGGGUUGUAAAGCACUUUUGUCCGGAAAGAAAUCCUUGGCUCUAAUACCAGGUCGGGGGAUGACCGGUACCCGGAAGAAUAAGCACCGGCUAACUACGUGCCAGCAGCCGCGGUAAUACGUAGGGUGCGAGCCGUUAAUUCGGGAAAUUACUGGGCGUAAAGCGUGCGCAGGCGGGUUUGCUAAGACCGAUGUGAAAUCCCCGGGCUCAACCUGGGAACUGCAUUGGUGACUGGCAGGCUAGAGUAUGGCAGAGGGGGGGUAGAAUUCCACGUGUAGCAGUGAAAUGCGUAGAGAUGUGGAGGAAUACCGAUGGCGAAGGCAGCCCCCUGGGCCAAUACUGACGCUCAUGCACGAAAGCGUGGGGAGCAAACAGGAUUAGAUACCCUGGUAGUCCACGCCCUAAACGAUGUCAACUAGUUGUUGGGGAUUCAUUUCCUUAGUAACGUAGCUAACGCGUGAAGUUGACCGCCUGGGGAGUACGGUCGCAAGAUUAAAACUCAAAGGAAUUGACGGGGACCCGCACAAGCGGUGGAUGAUGUGGAUUAAUUUCGAUGCAACGCGAAAAACCCUUACCCUACUCCUUUGACAUGGUCGGAAUCCCCCGCUGAGAGGUGGGAGUGCUUCGAAAAGAAGAACCGGCGCACAGGUGCUGCAUGGCUGGUCGGUCAGCUCGUGUCCGUGAGAAUGUUGGGUUAAGUCCCGGCCAAUCGAGGC